UCGCCCACUUCCGGUAACGUCACGGUUCAUUUGCAUAUGAGGCGUGGUUUAGUUUGAUACACGGUUGCUGCUUGCUUUUUAUAUGAUUAAUUAACUAUUUUGUUUUGUUUGAGUGUUGCUAAUUAUACAAUCACAUUAUUUUGAAUUGUGUAUUGUGCAUUUCACUAAUUGGUUAUUGUAAUAAUUCUGUAGUAGUUUGCAUAAAGAGGUAAUUAUGCAUUUGUAGCAGUUUCAAAUAUAUCUCUUUUGUCCUGUCAAACUUAAAGGUGCAUGGUGUAACUUUUCUGCUGGAGGGUCCAUCAAAUGCUUUUCUCCAUGGAGAUGUUAUUGCUUUGUCUGGGAUGUUUCACAAUAUGGUAUUAAAACUUUUAUCUUUAUGGAGAUCAAACACAUUACAGAUCAGGAUCAGUAGAGAGGUGACCCUGUUCAGUUUUUUCUAGGUAUUUUUUGAGCUCUAAAACUACUUGUAAUUUAAUAAAUGUAAGGUAGAGCUGUUAAAUGUCAUACUGUGGAACAUUCCAGGCAAAGCAAUGAUAUGUCCAUAGAAACAAGCAGGUGAUGGAUACAACCACAACCAAAAAGUUAUAUGGUGCACCUUUAGCCAGGCCAGUGAAGUAAAUUAUUACCAUUUGGGUAUACAAAUAUGUAUGUCUAUCUGCCCAUAGAGACUUUUAUGGCAGACCUGUCUUGUUUGAGUUGUAGAUGGACCGUUGAACACAGCCUAAAGCCUUUAGCUUCAAGGAAGAUCUACAAACACUUGUAGAUUUUGAAGCUGCAGUGGGUGGAGCAGACAGACUUAAAACAGACUAAACACAGGUGAUGUGGUUAACACCCUAAGUUUAGUGAACUGAGAGAAACGUUGUUUUGGUGGCUGUUGUUUAUUACAUGAAAGCAAUAGGUAUAUGGCAUUUAGAGGAAAGAAUAAGGCACUACACAGAAAAAAACAGAAUAGAGUGCAACAUACAGGAUUAUUGUAUUGUACAGUCUAUACUGGUUAAAACAAAAUAAAACUGAAAAUUAUUAAAUAGCUUCCAGCAAUCUGCAUGCAUAAUAUAAAAAACAAAGACUGCUUUGCUCGAUCAGUUUACAUUGACAUACCUGCAGUGUUAUUGUUUCACAGCUCAUGAUCUCAGUUUCAGUGAUGGUUAUGCAUUUUCACAGCUUUCAUUUAUAAUCCGACACAUGCUUCCUCCAAAAGUUAAUGAUUGUGGAUUAACAGAAAGUGCUUAAAAGCUCCAGGAAAGGCUGAAAACAACUUAUCGCCUCAGGCUGCAGCUAUACAUGAACCUGCAUGCCAUGGGAUUAUAGUGGUCGCUUAUGGGUUUAUGUAACAGAAAUGUCCACAACACAUUACGCACAGGUUUCUCAUGUGUCUCCUUUGUGUUCAAGAAGAAAAGAACGCUGUGAAAGCCUUCAUGUAGAAAAAACACAGCACCUGCUUGAUAUUGUUGACUUUGGCUGAUUUUACUGAAGGUCAGAGGUCACUCAGACAGGGGCAACGCUCCUAUAACACUUUGUUUUUUAAGUCUGAAUAUGUGAGAAAGUUCAACACCUUUGUACAAAUAUUUUGGUCUGCUGCACCUGACUCUUCAUAACAUGCAGGCAAUACUAUGAUGAGCACACUGACCCCUAGUGGACCAAAUACAAACUAGUUUUUAUAGAGACCUGAUUUUGCUUUCAGGGUUUGGAAAAAAAACGUUUUAUACUGAUAAAACAGAAUUUACAUUUAUAUUUUAGAAUACAAAGAUAGUAUAAAUUGAACAUUGAUGUAGAGGUGCUCAUAUUAAGACAACAUAACAUUAUUCAUAAGUGUUAUAUACAGCAAAAGUUGGUAUUCACUUUGGUCAGCUAAGAAAAUGUACUGAUACAAGUCUCACCCACAGACUGCAUAAACAGUUUAUAUAUACAGUAUAUAUAUACAUUUAUGGUCUCACCAGAAGUCCAGAAUAGUGCUGUUUUUGUUGUUGUUGUUGUUGUUGUUGUUGUUGUUGUUUUCCUUUGUAAGAAUUAAAAGUGAAAUGUUCUGUUGAAGGGAAUCUGCUAUAAGAGUCAGUUGUUACAGCAGGAGGAUGGAUUUAGGAGCAGAUGGGAGCACCAACACUUUUGUCAUAACUGUUCAUUGUUUGUAUUCCUUUAAAAGGGCACCGUGUAGUGGUUGUGUUCGUCACAUUUGCUGUUCAAAGUCAAGGAUGUGAACUGUGUCAAUAGACUGUAUAUAUAAAUGGGUAUAGCUAACUCGCUAGGCACCGUGUUCCAAAUAGGAAGUGAGCGCACUUCCGGCUCCAUCGAGUUCGGCUCCAAUUUGUAUUGAGAAAACGUUGUCCCUCUCUCCACAACUGCUGCUGUCAGACUCAUCAUUUUGAUUUUAAAAUGUUUAUAUUAACCCACUCUAAAUGAUUCUGGUGGUUUUAUUUCACUAUUUUGUCCCUAAAUCAAGUCCGAUUCCUAAUAUCGAACUGUCUCCAAAUUUGUCUAUAUAACUGCAAGCCUUAAUAAGCUUCAUUUGACUGGAGCCGAACACAGUGUGUGACAUCACACUCACUUAGUCCACUUCUUUAUAUAGUCCAUGUCUGUGUCUUAAGUUAUUCAUAUCAGGGCUUCUUCACCUUUUCAAUGUUGGAGCCAGUGUCUGCUUGUAUUUUGUUGCCUACACACUCUGCUCUAUGUUGUCAGCAGACAGUGGUUGACCUGUCAGUGUAAUCGUAGCCACACCGUGAAUUAUGGCCAGUGCAGUCCCUGAACACUUCUUCUCUGAGUUUCUGUCAGGUUCUCUUCCGGUUGUUUCUCCCGCCCCUCCGUACAUGGCGCCGCCCCCUCCGCCCCGCUCCCUCCACACCCUUUUGAAGCUGUCCGUCACAAAGCAGUACACUACGGGGUCCAGGCAGCUGUUUAGACUGCUCAGAGUGACUGUGAUGUGAUAGGCCAGAAUAUGCCUCACUCCGUGCUCAGGUGACUCUGCCCCCACCUGAACCCGGAAGUAGACCAGUAUCUGACGGAUGUGGAAAGGCGUGAAGCAGACUGUGAAGACCACCAGGACAGUAGCCAGAAGUCUAAUAGCGCGUGUUCUUCUGGCUCGACUCUUCUGGGACAUGUGUCUGUGCCGGGAUGACAGGAAACAGGCUACGCGCAGAGUAAAUCCCACUACGGCCAACAGGGGGAGCAAGAACUCCAGGACAGUGAGGUAGAACAAGGCUGGGAGCAGUACACAGGAGGAGCUGGACCCAAGAGCUGAGUGUGACCACAUUCAAGAUGGCCAGAUUCUACAGAGGAACCAGUGGGAGCAUCCUUUCCAGCUGCACUGACCAUAAUAGGAGAGCCAUGCAAUGAUGCCCUGUGAGUGAUGCAAGCCACCUAUUACACAAUCUGUUCAGCCUCCUGCCCUUUGGCCUUUGGGAGUACAAGAGCCUUCGUUCCCACUCCACUGGACAGCUUCAUCCACCAGGCUGUUAGGAUGCUGAACUGUCUCUCCCAUCUACCCACCAGGCUGCCAGGAAGCUACGAAUCUGCAUCUCCACAAGAACAGAACUCCUCAAAGAAUGCCCCCCCCCCCAAAUGUCAUACAUAUUCUAGGCAAAGUAAUAACAUUUCUGUGUUUAUGCAACAUGUAUAGUACAGAAGCUUGAAAUACAUAUAGUCUGUACUCUUUGACGAUGUGUGCUUUAUGAUUUUUUUUACCAUUGUCUAUUGCUCCUUAUAGCAGGCUAAUAAAUGGAGCAGCCAA